UACGAAGGGGGCUAGCGUUGCUCGGAAUUACUGGGCGUAAAGGGCGCGUAGGCGGCUUUGUUAGUCAGGCGUGAAAAUCCUGGGCUCAACCUGGGGACUGCGCUUGAUACGGCAGGGCUAGAGGACGGAAGAGGCUCGCGGAAUUCCCAGUGUAGAGGUGAAAUUCGUAGAUAUUGGGAAGAACACCGGUAGCGAAGGCGGCGAGCUGGUCCGUUACUGACGCUGAGGCGCGACAGCGUGGGGAGCAAACAGG
rnacentral:rRNA from 1 species